rnacentral:rRNA from 1 species
UACAGAGGGUGCAAGCGUUGUUCGGAAUUACUGGGCGUAAAGGGCGCGUAGGCGGUUUAGUAAGUCAGAUGUGAAAGCCCGGGGCUCAACUCCGGAAUUGCAUUUGAAACUGCUAGGCUAGAGUGCAGUAGAGGAUGGCGGAAUACCUAGUGGAGAGGUGAAAUUCGUAGAUAUUAGGUGGAACACCGGUGGCGAAGGCGGCCAUCUGGGCUGUAACUGACGCUGAGGCGCGAGAGCGUGGGGAGCAAACAGG